UGCAAGUCGAGCGGCAGCACGGGUACUUGUACCUGGUGGCGAGCGGCGGACGGGUGAGUAAUGCCUAGGAAUCUGCCUGGUAGUGGGGGAUAACGCUCGGAAACGGACGCUAAUACCGCAUACGUCCUACGGGAGAAAGCAGGGGACCUUCGGGCCUUGCGCUAUCAGAUGAGCCUAGGUCGGAUUAGCUAGUUGGUGAGGUAAUGGCUCACCAAGGCGACGAUCCGUAACUGGUCUGAGAGGAUGAUCAGUCACACUGGAACUGAGACACGGUCCAGACUCCUACGGGAGGCAGCAGUGGGGAAUAUUGGACAAUGGGCGAAAGCCUGAUCCAGCCAUGCCGCGUGUGUGAAGAAGGUCUUCGGAUUGUAAAGCACUUUAAGUUGGGAGGAAGGGCAGUUACCUAAUACGUAUCUGUUUUGACGUUACCGACAGAAUAAGCACCGGCUAACUCUGUGCCAGCAGCCGCGGUAAUACAGAGGGUGCAAGCGUUAAUCGGAAUUACUGGGCGUAAAGCGCGCGUAGGUGGUUCGUUAAGUUGGAUGUGAAAUCCCCGGGCUCAACCUGGGAACUGCAUUCAAAACUGACGAGCUAGAGUAUGGUAGAGGGUGGUGGAAUUUC
rnacentral:rRNA from 2 species